UACAGAGGUCUCGAGCGUUAGGCGGAAUCACUGGGCUUAAAGCGUGUGUAGGCGGAUCGUUAAGUACCUUGUGAAAUCCCACGGCUUAACCGUGGAACUGCUUGGUAUACUGGCGGACUUGAGCCAGCUAGGGGCUACCGGAACAAAUGGUGGAGCGGUGAAAUGCGUAGAUAUCAUUUGGAACGCCAAUGGUGAAAACAGCUCGCUGGGGGUGCACUGACACUGAGACACGAAAGCCAGGGGAGCAAACAGG
rnacentral:rRNA from 1 species